ACUCCUACGGGAGGCAGCAGUAGGGAAUCUUCCGCAAUGGACGAAAGUCUGACGGAGCAACGCCGCGUGAGUGAUGAAGGUUUUCGGAUCGUAAAACUCUGUUGUUAGGGAAGAACAAGUACCGUUCGAAUAGGGCGGCACCUUGACGGUACCUAACCAGAAAGCCACGGCUAACUACGUGCCAGCAGCCGCGGUAAUACGUAGGUGGCAAGCGUUGUCCGGAAUUAUUGGGCGUAAAGCGCGCGCAGGCGGUUUCUUAAGUCUGAUGUGAAAGCCCCCGGCUCAACCGGGGAGGGUCAUUGGAAACUGGGGAACUUGAGUGCAGAAGAGGAGAGUGGAAUUCCACGUGUAGCGGUGAAAUGCGUAGAGAUGUGGAGGAACACCAGUUGCGAAGGCGACUCUCUGGUCUGUAAC
rnacentral:rRNA from 1 species